UAGUUGGAGGGGGAAUGUGGGAUUGAGGACUUUUUUUUUUUAAUGGGAAUGACUGGAAUGUAUUUAAAACUUGAUAAGAAGGGUCUAAUCAAGAAAGAGAAAGUUUAAACAUACAAGAACAAAAAACUAUAACUGACAGUGUAAUGUUCCUUAGGAGGAGGGAAUGGAAUCUAAAUGAGAAGUGCAUCCUGUGCUUAAUUGCUCAGUCAUGUCCGACUCUCUGUGACGCAGUGGACUGUAGCCCACCACACUCCUCUGUUCAUGGGGAUUCUCCACGCAAGAAUACUGCCAUGCCCUCCUCUAGGGGGUCUUCCCAACCCAGGGAUCAAAUCCAGGUCUCCCGCUUUACAAGCAGAUUCUUUACCGCCUGAGCCACCAGGGAAGGACAGGCUCUCAGUUUUAACAACAGGAAGGAGGAAAGGUGUAUAUGCUUUAUAUUCAGAAAUGGUGCUCCUAUUUCCUCUAUAAUGUUGGAGGUGAGGUUUGCUAUUGCCAAUAAGAAGAUAGAAAGAAGUGACCAGGGUUUUGAGAAAUUUGAGAUGUUAAAGUUUGAAACACCUGUUUUAGAGCAAAACUGACUCAAGUAUAAAGGGCACAAAUAAACUGCUCUCAGGGAAAUGUUGUUCCCAGUGACUUUCCUGAGAAAUAUAUUACAGAAUGAGCUUUAGACAAUCAGAAUGAAUAGAAAGACAUCAACAAAAGGCCCAGUGUUGAGUAGUAAACAUACAAUGAUUUACAGAACUACCCACACCCAUGCCUAUGCUCAACUGAAUAUUGUCCCAUUUCCAUGAUUAAUGUAAACAUCAUUUAUUCAACAAAAUAUUGAGUGAAUAUCCUCUACACACUAGAUACUUAUGCAGUGGUUAUGCAGCAAGCUAGGAGGAGUUGGGGUGGGUGAGAAAUAGAGCCAGGGAAAGGGCAGCAGUGAGAAAGCAACUGUUUAAAAAGAUGGACACACUCUUAACUGGGGAGGAACAUAGAAAUCUUAACAUCCAGGCCUAGGGUGAGUGGCUAAACUCCACCCAGGCAAUGGCAUGCAAAGGGUGGUCUGAUCUGAGGAUAAGAUAGGCAAUUGUCAUGGUGCCAGGGGCAGACCUAGAGUCAGAUCAAUUGGAAAUAAGAGCACCUGGAAGAGAGGUCUAGCUGUGAAGACAGUGGGUGCAAAGUUAGAGGGUGAAACAGGUUUUAGCAGGGCUGCUUUCUUCUUGGUGGAUUCUUCAAAAUAUCAGCUUUGAGAGGUGGCAAGAAACCUAGAUGUUAGAUCCCCUAAAGUAAAGAAGCCUGAGAGAUUGAUAU
rnacentral:lncRNA from 1 species